rnacentral:rRNA from 3 species
CAUGGCCUUUUGAAAAUAAUUUAAGGUCUUACCUGCUCAAUGAUUUUUAAAUAGCCGCAGUAUUUUGACUGUGCAAAGGUAGCAUAAUAAUUAGUUUCUUAAUUAGGAACUAGAAUGAAUGGUUGGACAAGAAAAUUUCUGUCUCUUUUUUAGUAUUUAUGAACUUUAUUUUUAAGUGAAAAAGCUUAAAUGUAUAUAAAAGACGAGAAGACCCUAUAGAGUUUAAUAUUUGUAUUUAAUAAGAAAUUAGUAUAUUCAUUUAAUAGUAAAUAUUUGAUUGGGGUGAUUUAAAGAAAUAAAUAAUUCUUUAAAGUUUUAAUUGAUUAUUUUCAAUUUAAAGAUCUAAAAUUUUUAAAAUUAAAAUAAAUUACCUUAGGGAUAACAGCGUAAUUUUUCUUGAAAGCUCUUAUUUAAAGGAAAGUUUGCGACCUCGAUGUUGGAUUAAAAUUAAUUAUUGGUGCAAUAACUAAUAAAUUAGGUCUGUUCGACCUUUAAAAUUUUACAUGAUCUGAGUUUAAACCGGUGUGAGCCAGGUUGGAUUCUAUCUUUAAAAAAUUAUUAUAUUUUAGUACGAAAGGACCAGAUAUAAGUUAUAUUAAUUGU